AAAAAAUAUAUAACAGACAUCAACCAAAAACCAUCACUUUAUUACAGGCUUGGGCCAGAUAAAUACAAAAUUACAGACUUUGGCCAGAUAAAUACAAAAUGUACAUGUUUUGAAGCUAGGAAAACUGCCUCUUAAAUGAGACAGUGAUGUUACGUCUCGACAAAAGGGCAAAACCAUAAAAUUCAUUUGCUAAUAACUAAUGGUUGAUUUGGGUAUUUUUCGCCAUCUUUUAUUAUUAAAUAGCCAAACACAAUCGGUCUAAAUCAUUGAUGUAACAGGCACAAUUUGUGAAAAAAUGUAAUUAUCAGUUUAUGUCAUUUUAUUGAAGAAAAUAUAUAUUCUAUUAUACUUUUUC
rnacentral:lncRNA from 1 species